rnacentral:lncRNA from 1 species
AAGGACCCAGACGCCAGAGCAUGGGAAUGCUGCUAAUCUGAGUCGGCGAGCUAACUGCUAAUUCUGUCGGAAGCUCGGCGCGCGGAAGAAGCGAUUGCGUGGCAAGAGGCAUAGCUGCGAGAGCCGGAACGUCGACGAGGAGGAUGAUGCACCCAUUCCAUCCAUUCAGGGGCUCUGGCAAAUCUGUGGAGUAAAAAUGUGGAACGGCUGGCUGAUGGGAGUGAUACUUGUGUGUAGUAGGUUAUCCUCCCAUGGUGGAAAGCUGGAGGUGCAUAGAAACCCUUUUUUUUAGCAGUUUUAUGCAAGAUUGUCAAAAGCUGGUCUCUCUCUGAACUUCUCCCCUCCCCUCCAACUGCUGCUCUGCUCUGGUCUGGUCUCUUUAGAUUUGUUCUUUUUGUUGUUGUCUUAACUGAAGGAAGAAGGUUUAAUUAGAAUGCAGGUCAAGGGAAAACUUUUGUGAUGUUGCUGCUCUUGCCUUCCUCUUUUCUUUCUUUCUGUGUUUCUUUCCUUUUUUUUCUCCAUGUGUUUUGUCAAUACUCAGAUCUGCUUGGAUUGUUUUAGAAACAAUUUGGGGCAGAGAGGGAAAUGUCUCUCAAGGAGUAGUAGUAGUAGUAUGUUGGAUUGUUUUAGAAGCAACAACUGGGGCUGAGGCAGAGAGGCAGAUAAGUAGUAGUAGUUGUUGCAUAGCAUAGCAUAGCAUAGCAUAUAGCAUGAGAAUGACCAUGACCUGGCUUUUGGGCGUGUGCGUUGUAAUUAGCUAGCUAGCCUUGUAGAAGAAAUGAAUCAAUCAAGGCGGUGGAAGUUGGAUGGGUGGAUAAUCUUGUUAAGAUAGCAAAGCAGAGCAAUCUGGCCUGUGUGAUGACUCGGCACUGCAGUGCUCACUCAUCCGAAAGUGCUACUCGGUCCGGCACGCCACUCUUCCACUCCGCCAUUUGUUAACUUGCCCGGGCGGACGGACGGACGCGUGCUGCCGCUAUCUUCUUCCUAAUCGUACCAAUCUUCUAUCUAUAUCUAUAUAUCUAUCUAUCCAUGACACUGGGGCUGGAUGAUGAAGAUCUCAUUCGCAUGGAUCUCUCUCCUCUCGGCCAUCACACGUGUCCGGCCUAACAGCAACCCGACGUGCAGGCUGAAAAGUAAAGUAUCAGGAAAAUUUUGCCUUGGCCGGGGGACAUCGCUUUCCUUUCCCUUGGCGCAAUGGCAUGGCGCUCCCUCCCUUUCCUGCCCGGAGUGGGUCUGCACGCAUGGAGCUUUUUGUCCAGAUGCACCGCUCCGGUUGUUGGUGACAUGUGAUUAAUCGCGUGCUGGAUUGUUUGUUUGGGUUAAACCUGGCUUGGGUGGCCUUCCUUUCUUUCCAGCACUCACUCAUGGCUCAUCCGUCCAUGGGAUGCCAUGUAGUAGGAGUGGGAGUACUGGUGGCAGUAUCUCGCCGCGAUAUCUUGUGCAUGCACACAUCAGGGGGCCCCAUGGCCUGUCAUUAUUGCCAAAAACUCUUGUCUUUGAUUGGGAUGGGGAGAGAGGAAUCUGGUGUCCCUGUCGCCGUCGUGACGUAGCACCGCCAGGCUGUUCUGCAAGUCGCCAGAGUUUACCGGCAACUGGAUUUGCCCACGCCGUUUGCACGCUCCGUGCGCCGUGCUCCGUAGGCCGCUCGCGCUCGCGCUGUGAGCCUUGGAGGGCGGCGGUGGAACUCCGGUGGGCGAAAACGGCGAAUGCUUGUCCGAUGAUCGCCGGGAUCUAUGGUUGAAGUAGGCAAAACGCGGGGAGAUGGAAAAAGAUAAAGGAUUAAGCGUCGCCGAGAAGUGUUUGAUAGCACAUGAGAAAACAAUGGAGAAGUGUUUGACAGCACAUGAGAAAACAGAGGAAUUCUACCGAGAGGUUUGAGUGCACUAAGAUUUCCUCCAAGGUAGAGCAUGAGCCUAGGGAUUUCAAUAAUGUGGAUCAAACGACCAAUGUAGGAAAGUUUUUAAAGGAUCCAAAUUCUCUCGGUAAAAUUCCUUUGAAUCAAAGGAGAUCUGAAGGAAAUAGAGGCGGUACGGUUCGCACAUGUCUGUUCAAGGAUAUUAGGGGAUCUAGACCUCUGGGACCAUGCCAAAUGAAAAGACUACCCGACUAAGAAAAAAUGCCACACAUCAAAGGGAACUACUAAUUGAGGAUAGAUGAGCAUCCCGACUCUUCCGGGAAGAAGAAAGGAACAACUAAAAAACUAACAAUCUCCUACAAUUUACAUAUAGAUGAGGUAUCACCGUCCUGUUAUCAGCCAUCAGACCAAUAUGGCAGAUCUUAGGAAAAUAGAGUGGGAGAGGAGACCCCAAGGUGUGAGAGGAUUCAGUGGUCCAAGAGGAUGUGUUGGAUGGGGUAUCCAACAAGAGGACUCAUAUGUAUGUGAAGAGUGACCCUCCACUGUGGCCAAACAUCGCUCCAACAUCAGCCACUCGAUCUCUAUUAUCGAUGCCCCGUCUAUUCUGUUCUACAAACCCUUCAACUCCCCGUCAUCCACCCUUCCCCUCCCAACCCCGCUUUCUGAGAACCUCAGUACAUAGGAGCUUUCAAUCGGAUCUAAGAUAUUCUUUUCACUUUCAACUCGCUUUCUAUAUAAACAGUAAACAUACCAACUUUAACCAAUAUUUCUUGCUUAGAUAUAGAACUUUGCUUUCGUCACUUACCUCAAAAUAACCUGAGGGUCAUGAAGAGGGAUCAUACCAUCGACGCUUAGAUCUAAAACUUUGAAUCCGUCAAUCACCUGGAAAUAACCCUCACGGCCAUGAAGAGGAAGGACACCAUCGAUCCUUCGAUAUAGAAUUUUGAAUGUGACAAUCACCUGGAAAUAACCCUCACGGUCAUGAAGAGGAAGGACACCAUCGAUGCUUAGAUAUAUAACUUUGAAUCUAGCAAUCACCUGGAAAUAACCCCCACUGCCAUGAAGAGGAAGAACAACAUUAUUGGAAAUUCAGUUAAUAGCUGUUUUGAAGAAAUCACUAAACUCUAAACUAUGAUGGUUAGAUCUAGACUCUGAAUCCUGCAAUCACCUGGAAAUAACCCUCGUUGUCAUGGAGAGGGAGGACACCACUGAUGCUUAGAUCUAGACUUUGAGUCCGNNNNNNNNNNNNNNNNNNNNNNNNNNNNNNNNNNNNNNNNNNNNNNNNNNNNNNNNNNNNNNNNNNNNNNNNNNNNNNNNNNNNNNNNNNNNNNNNNNNNNNNNNNNNNNNNNNNNNNNNNNNNNNNNNNNNNNNNNNNNNNNNNNNNNNNNNNNNNNNNNNNNNNNNNNNNNNNNNNNNNNNNNNNNNNNNNNNNNNNNNNNNNNNNNNNNNNNNNNNNNNNNNNNNNNNNNNNNNNNNNNNNNNNNNNNNNNNNNNNNNNNNNNNNNNNNNNNNNNNNNNNNNNNNNNNNNNNNNNNNNNNNNNNNNNNNNNNNNNNNNNNNNNNNNNNNNNNNNNNNNNNNNNNNNNNNNNNNNNNNNNNNNNNNNNNNNNNNNNNNNNNNNNNNNNNNNNNNNNNNNNNNNNNNNNNNNNNNNNNNNNNNNNNNNNNNNNNNNNNNNNNNNNNNNNNNNNNNNNNNNNNNNNNNNNNNNNNNNNNNNNNNNNNNNNNNNNNNNNNNNNNNNNNNNNNNNNNNNNNNNNNNNNNNNNNNNNNNNNNNNNNNNNNNNNNNNNNNNNNNNNNNNNNNNNNNNNNNNNNNNNNNNNNNNNNNNNNNNNNNNNNNNNNNNNNNNNNNNNNNNNNNNNNNNNNNNNNNNNNNNNNNNNNNNNNNNNNNNNNNNNNNNNNNNNNNNNNNNNNNNNNNNNNNNNNNNNNNNNNNNNNNNNNNNNNNNNNAUUAGCUAUUUUGAACAAAUCCCUAAACUCUAAACUACGAUGGUUAGAUCUAGAACAUUGAAUCUGACAAUCACAUGGAAAUAACUCUCACGGUCAUGAAGAGGGAGGACACCAUCGAUGCUUAGAUCUAGAACUUUGAAUCUGACAAUCACCUGGAAAUAACCCUCGCGGUCAUGAAGAUGGACGACACCAUCGAUUCUUAGAUCUAGAACUUUGAAGUCCUCAAUCAUAUAGAAACGACCCUCACGGUCAUGAAGAUGGAAGGCACCAUCGAUGGAGAUAAGACUCGCGGAGGAGGGGUAGAGAGGAAUAUCGAUGGAGUGACCACAACAUGGAAAGCACAACGAUGGUGGGCUUGGAAAUACAUGUUGUCAUCGCCGAUGAUGGGGGAGGGGAGGUGAUGCCCACGAUUUGGAAUAUGACCCGUGAAUUGGCAAUUGUGCUAGAGGGGCGAAUUGCAAUCUAGCUAACGGCAAGGUAGAAAUGGAAGCAGAUAAUGAUGUAUUUAGAAGGUAUUUAGUAUUUGCCGGGGAUAAGAAGAAACACGUGUGUGUACGGGGAGGUGGUAAUGGUUAAGAAAGGCAGUGGUCCCUACAAUUCGACAAAUGUACAAUGGAUGCUCGAUGUUCCAGUUUAUUAAGAAUUUACGUGCACGGGGCAAGGGAGCGAUGCAGACCAUUGGAUCUGGGUAAACUUUACAAUUUACAGUCUUUGUGUUUUAGAAGUGACGACACAAGAGUCUCCUUACAAGUUAAAAAACACACAUUGAUUUCUAGGACUAUACUAAAUAGACAUAUUGCAUUAUAUAUACCACCUAUGCAUAUCCCAUAGUUUAUAUAUUUUAUUUGAGUACAUUUUGUUGUCGUCUUAUAUUAGAAGCCUUCCAUGUAUGAUACACCUCGGGGAGUAGUGGAGUUUUGUUUGAAAGACCUUUUGAUAGGUGGGCUAGCCAAUAUCGAAACACCAAGCCAACACACACACAAAAUACACCUUGGUUGAAUAACUCGCGUUCCUCCCUCACAUUCACUACAUCCUUCUCUAGUUUCCAAAAUAUUGGAUCUUUAGCUCUAAGAUCACAAUAUUUCACUUUGCUAAUAGAAACUAAAUUAUGGUCAAUGCGAGGUGUACUAUGCUCUAGCAACUUCAUGUGAGGCAUAUUUGGGUUUAUGGAAACAACUUCCAACAUUGAAUGAAAAUUCUCAAACUUUGACCGAAAUGAAUCAAACAUAAAACUCAAAACUUCUAAACUUCUCUACUAAUAAAGAAUUAAAUUUAUCCCUUGUUGGACACUGAUGAGGUAGAUGGCAGCGACCAGUGGAUGAUAGCAUACAAAGUGGUAAUGAUAGAGACAUGUGGAAGCAGUGUGGCACUAUCUACUUCGUUGCACCCUUAUCGAUGACCUCGACGAAAGGGGGUUGUGCCGACCAGGUUGGGGAAUUGAUGCAAGUGACGAUGUAGAUGUAUUUUGAUGUUAGUUGUAGAGAGUAUAUAUGUGAUCGUGUGGGAGGAGGUAGAAAUGGAAUACUAUGGGGUGAAAUGAUUUUGAAACUUACUUACAUGUUUAUUGUGAAAUGGAGUAUUAUGGUGUGGGGAACAAUAUGAAAUGCGUUGGCUACCAAUUGCACAUGUGUUGUAGAAAUUAUUAUUUACGAGACCUUCAAAUGUUUAAGAUAUAGUUUCAUAAAUUUGAAAGUUCAUAUUUUACUGUUCAAAUUCAAAUCCCAAAGCAUAUUGUAUUGAGGGGGGGGGGUCAUUAGUAUGUAGUCUUGACAUGGAUUAGUAGGGUAUGUAUGGAGGCUUUACUUCUUGGGAGAGAAUUAAAUUUUAGUUUUUGUAAACCGGACCUUAACAGCCUUAGGGGUGUAAACACUAGAAUAAAAAAAGGCAUGGGUAUGAGGUCUUGAUUCUUACAACCAUAUAUUUGUGGUCAGGAUCAUCAUUAUAUUAACUUGUGCUCCGGAUAAUACCCAUUAAGAUGUGCUUGCAAUGUGAUGAAGUGGGGGAUGUGUCCAAAUUACGUCUUGACCGGUGCGCGACCUGCAUCAAGAGUUAGUAGUCCAACCACAUGCCCUUACUGUCUCAAGGUGUUACCUCAAUUAAUAAGAUUUUUUUAGACAAAAGCAUUGCGUAUUUAAUCACUACACAUCAUGAAUCACCAAUUGUUGGAUUUCUGCUACCACACUAAACCUUUCUGUCACAAGUGUUCAGAAUAGCAUUUUGCGUCCUCCUCGCUCCUUACCGCCUCCUUGAUCGAACUCUGAGAUCCUGGGAACAUGUAGGGUUGUAGAACAAGAAAGAGACAAGAGACACCUCCGUAGCAAUUGGACACAUACAUGACAUUAAUUAUUCAAAGUCAUUCCAAUUUACUCACACAUGACGAUCGAAUCACAAGAGGAAAUCAUCGGAUAAGACAUAAAGAUGAAUACUUUAUUGAUAAUAUGUCUGACAAUGGUUUCUGGAUUUGAUGUGUGAUUACAAGUACAACUAACUUGGAGGGGAGAUGUUGCGGUGAAGGCUAUGGUGGUGGCUAUGGAGAUAAGAUGGAAAAUGGUGGCGGCUAGGGUUUAUCAAUCCGCGAGAGGUGUAGGAUGAAGGUGGUUCUCUCUCAAACAACCCUGCAAUCAAAUACAAGUAAUCUCUUGUGUCCCCAACACACCCAAUAAAUUUUUCAGUUGUCUAGGUGCACUAGUUGGGCGAAGAGAUGGUGAUACAAGUGUAAUAUGGAUGGUAGAAAUAGCUUUUUAUAAUCCAAACAAUUAAUAAUAGCAAGGUAGCAAGUAAAAAAUAGUGUGUAAAAAUGGUGUAUCAAUGCUUGGAAACAAGGCCUAGUAUUCAUACUUUCACUAGUGUCAACUCUCAACAUCAUUAACAUAAUUCAACAUCAUGAUAACCCCUCGAAGUGCAGCAAAGAAUCACUCUAAAGUUCCAUUCUAUCAUAGAAAGUAGGAUGAAAUCCCGUAGGUAGCAAACCACCUCAAAGUUGUGUUUCCAAUCAAUCUAUUGAACCACCCCCAAAGUGUCAUGGCUAGCCCUAGAUAUUUUACUACAAUAACACCGUAUGAUACAUAUCGUUCAACUUUUAUGCUAAGAUUAUCCCAAUGUCAGCUCGGGUAUCCGCAAGUAAAUUACUAGACAUGCAUCAAGUGAUCUCAAAUCCAAAGUAUUCAAUCCAACAUAAACAAACCUCAAAGAGCAAGACCCAAUUCGCCACAAAAGGAUAGAGGGAGAUGAACAUCAUAAGAUCCAACUUUAUUAAUCAAGCUCAUGAUACAUCAAGAUCGAAUCCAUCAAGAACACGAGAGAUAGAGAGAGAGAGAGUGAUAAGUCUCCAACGUAUCUAUAAUUUAUGAAGUAUUCAUGCCAUGUUUACAAAAAAUUAUAUGGUUUUGGUAUGAUUUGAUUAGAACUAACCCGGACUAACGAUGUUUUCAACAGAACUACUGUGGUGUCAUUUUUUGUGCGGAAGUAAAAGUUCUCGGAAUGGGCUGAAAUUUUACGGUGAUUUUUAUGGACCAAAAGAGACCCUCGAAGCACCGGAGCUGGACCAGGAGGUGACCGAGGAGGCCACAAGCCAGGGGGCGCGCCUCCCGAGCUUGUGGGCCCCUCGGGCACCCCCUUGACGUGAGACCGACACCAAAAAUUCGUAUAAAUACCCAAACCCCCAGAAAGAACCCUAGAUGAGAAGUUCCGCCGCCGCAAGCCUCUGUAGCCAAUAAAAACCAAUCGGGACCCCGUUCCGGCACCCUCCAGAGGGGGAAAUCAUCACCGGAGGCCAUCUUCAUCAUCCCGGCGGCCACCAUGAUGAGGAGGGAGUAGUUCACCCUCGGGGCUGAGGGUAUGUACCAGUAGUUAUGUGUUUGAUCUCUCUCUCUCUCUCUCUCUCUCGUGUUCUUGAUUUGGCACGAUCUUGAUAUACUGCAAGCUUUGUUAAUAUAUUUGGAUCUUAUGGUGUUCUUCCCUCUCUACCUUCUUGUGAUGAAUAUAGUCUUGCUCUCUGAGGUUUCUUUAUGUUGGAUUAAAAAUUGGAUUUGAGAACACUUGAUGUAUGUCUUGCACACGAAUACCCAUGGUGACAAUGGGGUAUUAUAUUGAUUCACUUGAUGUAUGUUUUGGAUUCCCGAGGUGACAUUGGGGUAAUCUAUGCAUAGGGGUUGAUGCACAUUUUCGUCAUAUGUUCUCCGGUAGAAACUUUGGAGUGAUUCUUUGUUGCAUGCUGAGGGAUUGUUAUAUGAUCCAAUUAUGUUUUCAUUGUUGAGAGAUUUUGCACUAGUGAAAGUAUGAACCCUAGGCCUUGUUUCCAAGCAUGGCAAUACCGUUUUCGCUCACUUUUACUACUUGCUACCUUGCUGUUUUUAUAUUUUCAGAUUACAGAAACCUAUAUCUACUAUCCAUACUACACUUGUAUCACCAUCUCUUCGCCGAACUAGUGCACCUAUACAAUUUACCAUUGUAUUGGGUGUGUUAGGGACACAGGAGAUUUCUGGUAUUUGGUUGCAGGGUUGUUUGAGAGAGACCAUCCUCAUCCUAUGCCUCCCACGAAUUGAUAAACCUUAGGUCAUCCACUUGAGGGAAGUUUGCUACUGUCCUACAAACUCUGCGUUUGGAGGCCCAACACGAGUCUACAAGAACAAGUUGUGUCGUAGACAUCAGAGAGAGAAAGAAAGAGAGAGAGAGAGAGUGAUUGAACACAUAGCUACCAGUACAUACCGUCAGCCCCGAGGAUGUACUAUUCACACAUCACCAUGGAGUCCGCAAGGUUGAUGAAGAGGCCUCCGAGGAUGGGUUCCCCUUCCGGCAGAGUGCUGGAAGGGCCUCCAAUUAUCGAGAAACAGGAUUACAGGAACUUGCGACGGUGAAAACAUUGUUCUCAGGGUACAACGGAGAGUUUUGGUAUUUAUAGCGAAUUCUAGCAUUGGAAUCACAUCAAAAGGGUGCAGGGGGUCCCAGAAGCCCAGGUGCGUGGCCACCCCCCAAGACGCGCCACCUGGCCUUGUGGGCCCCUCGGGCCUCUUCUCAUUGACUUGUGAAGCUUCUAGUGCUCCAUUUGGCCCAUAAAAAAUGUGUUAAAUUCGCAUUUAAUUUUGACCCCCAUAGGUAUUGAUUUUCCAUGAAACCAAAAACAAGCAAAAACAGCAACUGACACUGGGCACUAAAUUAAUAAGUUAGCCCAUAAAAAUAAUAUAAAAAUGCACCAAAACCAUACAUAAAUGUUGUAAAUAUAUCAUGAAUAGUUCAUAAAUUAUAGAUACGUUGGAGACGUAUCAGCAUCCCCAAGGUUAAUUCCUGCACGUCCUCGAGUAGAUAAAUGAUAAAAGAAAUAAUUAUGAAGUGUGAAUGCUACUCCCUCCAUCCCAUAAUAUAAGAUGUUUUUGCAAGCUAUGUAGCUUGCAAAAAUGUCUUGUAUUGUGGGACGGAGGGAGUAGAAUAGAACAAAACUUUGAUCACAUGGGCAUUAUUUUACGAGUGCGGAGGAGCUUGGAUGACCAAGGUGCAUGUGCCAAAGAUGAACACCGGCUGAGAGUGCAACCAGUCCAGCGGUGGAAGAUGAUGAUGGCUGGACGGGAUAUAGAUCGCCGAGGCUGUCACAUUAGUGCAACACCAUCCGAGUGCGAGCUCCUUAAUAGAGAAACCAGGUUCGUCGAAUUCCACAAUUACGGGGUCACCACGAGUAAAAGAACGAACAAAGACUAAAUUUUGAUAAGUUGAGGUGAAAUGACAACAUUAUUAAGAGAUAAGGGUAUGAAGUUAGAAGGAAACAGAACGGAGCCGACAUGUGUGAUAGGGAGAGAGGAACCACCACCCACGAUGAUUCGUGAAGAGGUGGCAGUUGGUUAGGAAGAUGAAAGUUACCGGGGUUGUACGUCAUGUGAGUAGUCGCACCGGUGUCCAUGUACCAGUCGCCAUCAGCACCGUACGAGCCCGAAGGUGGGGCCGUCUAGAGCGCCAUCAGCACCGCGGGAUUCAACAGGGAUGGAGUCGGGUGACCCAACAAGACUAAGGUGUAGCUGUCGGGUCCUAUGGGUGCGCUGUAUUGCGACUACUGCGAUGCCGCAAAGGUCUGAUGGCCCGACAAACUGGGGCCAUGGAGACCAGGGCCAGCGCGCGUGGCACCCACAUAGAGUGUGCAUGGAUGCCCCCUGCCCAGGGGUUGUACCCACCACUCCAUGGUGGGGUGGGCUGCUGCUUUGGUUGCUGCACCGAACUGGGAGGGCCGAUGGCGUUGGCGCACUGCUAGCCCGUGCGCCCCCGCUUGUGUUGUCGGUUGCGGUCCGAUCCGGGGCCACAUGUGGCUGCAACGGAUAGGGGAACCAAGGACACCGGGAGCGCUGGGUAGCGUGGCGGAGGUGGCAUCAAUGAAGAAGUGGCCCACACGAAAUCCCAGUGGCAUGAGCAGCGACAGGAGGAGGGGGGACGACGAACAUAUUGUUGUGGGUACCGGAGAGGGAGGAGACAGGGGACUCCAUGCAAUUCAUGGUGGGGAGCGGAAGCUGCAUUGUUGGGUAGGGAUAGGGUUUUGGUGGUGGUGGCAGCUAGAGCUAGCGACGGCGGCGGCUAGAGAGGAUGGCAGUGACAGUGGCUAGGGCUAGCCGUGGUGGCAGCCAGAGAGGAUGACCGCGGCAACGGCUAGAGCUAGUGGCAAUGGUGACCAGUGAGGUCAACGGCGGCAGCGGCUACAGGGCAGAGUAUCUAUGAAUGAACUGGAACGAAAAGUGGUGGUGGCCGCCAGAGAGGAUGGCGGCGGCAGUGGCUACGGGGGAGAGUAGCUAUGAAUGAGAUGGAACAAAAAACGGUAGCAACUAUAGGGGGUGUAGCAGUGGUGGCGGUGGCUAGAGGUGCGGCGCGACUAGGGGAGAGGAUCGAGAGAAGGCUGAUACCAUGUAGAGAAAGUAUUUGGCACAUCACAAUUGUAUUCAUAUCAUGGGGUGCCCAUAAAUAACAUUUACAGGGGUAGUAUCAUCCACAACAAUGAUCCUAAUUACUGCGUAUAUACUUGGGGAACAAGAGGGACAACUACACCUAGUACAAGUACGAUAUAUGUAUGUAUGGGACAAACACAAAGUGUCUCUCAACACUUCCCAAAUGUCCUAGACUUGACGCUACUGCUCGCAUUUUUCUGGAUUUAUUUCCAGGCACUCCGGUGAUGCGUGAUACGUCCAUUUUGCAUCAUAUUUUCCUAUUGAUAUUUAUUGCAUUAUGGACUAUUAUUCGAGCGUUUCUGCUCCCGAGCUCAUCUGCACCCCCUUGACGAAAAAAAUCAAAACAAAUACCAAAAACAUUCAAAAAAAUUCCAAUUUUUUGUGUGGUAGAUAAGUUUAUGCGUGAGGUGCGCUCCAAUUUUCAACUCAUUUGGACAUCUGAGAAACUCUCAGCAAAAAAGACAAAUUCAGGGUGUGUAAAAAAGUUUACUGUUCACACAAUGUUUUGGCCUGAUUUUUUUUUGCUGAGAGCUGCUCGGAUGUCCAAAAAAGUUGAAAUUUGGAGCACACCUCACGCAUACAAUUGUCCAUCACACAUUUUUUUUUGAAAAUUUUUAGUAUUUUUUUUGAUUUUUUUCUGACCGGGUGCAGAUGAGCCUGGGCACCGAAUUGGGUUUUCGCUAGUAUUCCAUUUUAUGAUACAAUUCUUAUGCCUUUUAUCUCUUAUUUUGCAAGUUUUACAUGAAGAGGGAGAUUGCCGGCAACUGGAAUUCUGGACCGGAAAGGGCUAUAUCAGGGACACUUAUUCUACACGCCUCCAAAUGACCUAAAAUUGACGGAGAAUUAUUUUGGAAUAUAUAAAAAAUAUUGGUGAAAGAAUCAACAGAAGAGGGCCCACCAGGCAGCCACAAGCCUGGGGGGCACGCCCCUGGACUUGUGGGGCCCCUAGUAGGCCUCCGAAGCCCAUCUUCUGCUAUAAGGUGCUAUUUGACCUAGAAAAAAUCAGAAGGAAGGUUUCGGGACGAAGCGUCACCAUCUCAAGGCGGAACAUGGGCAGGAGCACUUUUGCUCUCCGGCGAAGCGAUUCUGCCAGGGAAACUUCCCUCCGGGAGGGGGACAUUGAAGCCAUCAUCAUCACCAAUGAUCCUCUCAUCAUGGGAGGACCAAUCUUCAUCAACAUCUUCACCAGCACCAUCUCAUCUCAAACCCUAGUUCAUCUCUUGUAUUCAAUCUUUGUCUAAACCUCAUAUUGGUACCUGUGGGUUGACAGUAGUGUUGAUUACAUCUCGUAGUUGAUGCUAGUUGGUUUAUUUGGUGGAAGAUUAUAUGUUCAAAUCCUUAAUAAUAUUCAAUACCCCUCUGAUCUUGAAAAUGAAUAUGGUUUGUGAGUAGUUACUUUUGUUCUUGAGGACAUGGGAGAAGUCUUGUCAUAAGCAAUCAUGUGAAUUUGGUAUUCGUUCAAUAUUUUGAUGAUAUGUAUGUUGUUGUUUCCCAUAGUGGUGUCAUGUGAACGUCGACUACAUGACACUUCACCAUACUUGGGACUAAGGGAAGGCAUUGUGGAGUAGUAAGUAGAUGAUGGGUUGCUAGUGUGACAAAAGUUUAAACCCUAGUUUAUGCAUUAUUCCGUAAGGGGCUGAUUUGGAUCCAUAUGUUUCAUGCUAUGGUUAGAUUUAUCUUAAUUCUUCUUUCAUAGUUGCGGUUGCUUGCAAGAGGGGGUAAUCAUAAGUGGGAGUCUUGUUCAAGUAAGAACAACACCCAAGCACCGGUCCAUCCACACAUUGGUACAGCGAGGUGCUAUACAAAUAGUUUUUAACCCCUUUCCGCGACGGUAUUUUGAACCGUCGCCAAGUGAGUGUGUGCGAUAGGGGGGUCCUUCCCACACGACCCAGAAACCGUCGGGAAUAAGGAGCCUUGAUGCAUACAGUUGUCCCUAUAAAACUGUUUCUGAUAUCUCGAACAUCCCAAAUGCUCCAUCCUUGCAACUCAUUUGUGCUCGCAUUUCCAUCCCAGUCGGUAUUCUGUGGUGCUACAUUUACGAUGCGCGACCCAUCACAAAUGGUUCACGAUUAUAGAACAUGUAUGAAAGUGCAACUAUCCCUGGGUGGUUUUGGGAAUUCCUAACAACAUAUAGCUCACUGAACUAAUGCUCUUUCAAGAUGAUCAUUUCAGAAAGUUCAAUGAUUGGCAUGGCAUGGACUAGGAAUGUGGAUCCCUCAAAAUGCUAUGUACACAUGUUGGCUCAAGCUCAAGACUCUACAUUUUCAUUUUAGUGAUCCAAGAUCACAUUGAGUCCAUAGGAAAAGCCAAUACUAUUAAAAGGGGAUGAGGUGUUGCUUAAUGGCUUGCUUGCUCAAAAUGCUUAGUGAUAUGCUCCAAAAGUCCUCAACAACUUUAUCAUAUCCACAUAUGUCCCAAACCAAAAGUCAAACUCGGCCCCACCGAUUUGAUCUAUCCGGUGCCACCGAGUUCAUUUGACAUAGCCGUAGCCAGAAACCCUAAUCAGUUCGGUCUCACCGAUAGGGAUCUCGGUCUCACCAGAUGGGAUUGCAAACUCUCUGUUUCCCUUCGUAACAUUUCGGUCUAACCGAGAUGAGCGAUCGGUCCCACCGAGUUCACAAUGCAAACUCUCUGUUUCCUUUUCGUAAUGUUUCGGUUUCACCGAAAUGAGCGAUCGGUCCCACCAAGUUUGCUUGACCAACUCUCUGUUUGCCUAUUACAGAAAUCGGUCUCACCGAGUUUAUGUGAUCGGUCUCACCGAGAUUACGUUAUGCCCUAACCCCAAUGAAAUCGGUCCCACGGAGUUGACAUGUCGGUCCCACCGAAAAGCCUAACGUUCACAUUUUGAACUAAAUCGGUCUGACCGAGUUUCAUGAUUUGGUCCCACCGAGUUUGGUGAAUUGUGUGUAACGGUUAGAUUUUGUGUGGAGGCUAUAUAUACCCCUCCACCCACUCUUCAUUCGUGGAGAGAGCCAUCAGAACGUGCCUACACUUCUAGCAUUCAUUUUCUGAGAGAGAACCACCUACUCAUCAGACCAAGAUAUUCCAAUCCAAUCACAAGAAUCUUGAUCUCUAGCCUUCCCCAAGUUGCUUUCCACUCAAAUCAUCUUUCCACCAAAUCCAAAUCUGUGUGAGAGAGUUGAGUGUUGGGGAGACUAUCAUUUGAAGCACAAGAGCAAGGAGUUCACCAUUAACACACCAUCUAUUACCUUUUGGAGAGUGGUGUCUCCUAGAUUGGUUGGGUGUCACUUGGGAGCCUCCAUCAAGAUUGUGGAGUUGAACCAAGGAGUUUGUACGGGCAAGGAGAUCGCCUAUUUCGUGAAGAUAUACGCUAAUGAGGCAAGUCGUUCAUGGGCGAUGGCCAUGGUGGGAUAGACAAGGUUGCUUCUUCGUGGACCCUUCGUGGGUGGAGCCCUCCGUGGACUCAGGCAGCCGUUACCCUUCGUGGGUUGAAGUCUCCAUCAACGUGGAUGUACGAUAGCACCACCUAUCGGAACCACGCCAAAAAUCUCUGUGUCUACAUUGCAUUUGCUCCCUCCAAACUCCUCCCCUUUACCUUCAUAUGCAAUGUUUUACAUUCCGCUGCCAUACUCUUAGAAUUGCAUGUGUAGGUUGAUUGCUUGAGUUGUGCUAAGUUGCUAAAAUCUGCCAAGACUUAAAAUUGGGAAAAGGCUAGAUUUUUAUUUGUUCAAGUAGUCUAAUCACCCCCUCUAGACACACUUUCGAUCCUACAAUUGGUAUCAGAGCUUUGGUCUCCUUUUUCCUUGAUUUCCAUCGCUUUGGUGAUCAUAGCCUUGGUUUCACAACCUAGGAGAGUAUGGCGUCUAGCGAGGGAAAUUACCACCGUAGAGGUCCUUACUUUGCUGGUACUAAUUUUGCUAGUUGGAAGCAUAAGAUGAAAAUGCAUAUUCUUGGACAUAACCCGACCAUUUGGGCUAUUGUGUGUAUUGGCUUGCCAGGUGAAUUCUUUGAUGGGAGAGAAUCGAACCGUGAAGCUACCGCGGAGGAGUUGAAGAUGCUGCAAUACAAUGCUCAAGCCUGCGAUAUCCUCUUCAAUGGAUUGUGCCCUGAAGAAUUCAACAAAAUCAGCCGUCUUGAGAAUGCAUAGGAAAUUUGGGAUACUUUGAUUGAUAUGCACGAAGGUACCGACUCCUCAAGGAAUCGAAAUUGGAUGUGCUUCAAAGUCAGCUUGACAAGUUCAAAAUGAAGGAUGGUGAAGGUGUCGCUGAAAUGUUCUCUAGGCUUGUUCUCAUCACAAAUGAGAUUGCCGGCUUAGGAAGUGAAGAUAUGACCAAUAGAUUCAUCAUCAAGAAGAUCCUAAGAGCCUUGGAUGAAAAAUAUGAUACCGUGUGCACAUUGAUCCAAAUGAUGCCCAAUUACAAAGAUCUCAAGCCAACGGAAGUCAUUGGAAGAAUUGUUGCUCAUGAGAUGUCACUCAAGGAUAAAGAAGAGCUUCACAACAAGUCAAGUGGUGCUUACAAAGCCUCAUGUGAUGCUCCUUCAUCAUCAAGUAAGAAACAAACCUUCAAUGAGGAAUUGAGCCUAAUGGUGAAGAACUUCAACAAGUUCUACAAGAGUAGAAGCAAGGAAAGGAGUUCCAAGUCAAGGUCCUACAAUGACAAAAGAUCUUCUAGUCGUGAGCGUAAUUUCUACAAUUGUGGAAGACCCGGACACUACUCCAAUGAGUGUAUGACUCCCUACAAAAGAAGAGAAGACUCACCUAAAAGGAUAAGUAGAAGAGAAGAAUCACCUCCAAGAGAGAGAAGGAGUAGAGAUGAUCGUUAUGAACGAAGAACCUCUCGCAGAAGUAAGGAUUCGGAAAGGAAGGACAAGUCAUCAAGGAGCUAUGCAAAACGAAGACAUCAAGCUCACGUUGGUGAAUGGCAUCCGGCUCCGACUCCGACCAUCACUCCGAGAGAAGUUAUCACUCUGACUCCGAAUAUACUCAAGAUGAAGGUGUUGCUGGCCUAGCACUUGUGUCAACCAACUCCUAUGACAUAUUAGACUCACCAAAUGAAGGACUUGGAAGAUGCUUCACGGCUAAAGGCCCAAAGGUAUCACACCCCGAGUAUGUUGAUUUCAGUAGUGAUACAGAUGAUUUGCUAGGUGAUGAUGAUUUACUUGUUGACAACUCUAGUGAUGAAAACUAUGAUGAACUUUCUAUUAAUCAUGCUAAUCAAGAUAAAAUGAAUGACGAUGAUAAGAAGGAGAUUGAGCGUCUAACUAAAGAACUAAACACUCUUAAGUUAGCUCAUGAAACUACCUUAGAAGAUCAUCGAGAGCUUUUAAAGACUUAUGAGAAGCUACGCUUUGAAAAGCUCAACCUUGAGGAAGAGCAUGGGUUCUUAAAAGCAAUCAAUGAUGAUCUUCGUAAGAAAAGUUCUUCUUACAUUGCCAAGCGUUUACUCUUGUCUACUUACAUGCCACAAGUAAAAUCUAGCAACAAGAGUAAGAAAGAUUCUUCUUCUAGUAGUAACAAUAAUCAUGUUAAAUCCAAUAUUGUUGCUUCUAGUAGUUCUCUUGAUUCCACUAAUGAUUCUCUUAGCCAAGUUACACUUGAGCAAGAAAAUAGCUUAUUGAAGGGAAUUAUAGAGAAAGGUGUUUACAAGAGCCUUGCCGGAAGUAAGCAAUUUGAGGAAAUUGUACGCAAGCAAGGAAGGCACCGGAAGAAUCAAGGUGUUGGUUUUGAACGAAAGUUCAAUGCCAAUGGAGUUGAGUGGGAAGAACAUCAAUACCCCAAGACGAAGUUUGUUCCUCAACAAGAGAAGUAUGAUCCUACUUCUUUCAAGGGGACACAAGCCCAAGAUGAUCUUCCACCACAAGACCACAAGCAAAAAGGCAAGGACAAGCUUCAAGAGGAGAUUGAUGCAUUUGAAGAAGCUCACAAGGCCUUGGUCAAGUGGGUUCCCAAGACUACAUCAAGUUCUACUUCAUCAAGUACGGCUACAACUCCAAGGAUUCCCAUCAAGAUGAUGUGUAUCCCUAAGAAGAAUAACUAGAGAGUUCUUGAGGGUGACUCCGCCAACAUACUUUACUCAUAUCAUUUUGGCAAGGACAAGUGCAAACAACUUCCACAUCUUGCACUAGUUCAAGAAGUCACAAACCCUCUUGUUGGUAAGACAAGGGACAAGGUAACCUAAAGCUUUCAUGGACAUCAUCCUAUGUGAACUUCACUCUAUGUCUAUGCAUAUCCUUAUUUGUUCCUUGUGGGACUAACCCGUGUAGGUAUUGAAAGUGCAACACACUCCAAUGGAUUGCUCCGAAUGAUCUACAUCAACAUUGAGCAUCCACAUCUUCAACAUCUACAUGAAGUCAUCAUCGACAAAACCCAAGGUUAGUUCAUCCCUCUUAGGGGGAAUAUCACAUCUAGGGGGAGUUUUACUCUAAAUAUUGAGCUAAAGCAACUCUAAUGGUGUGAACACAACAAUGCUUUAUGUAAAAGUGGUAACCCCACUUGUGCUUAAACGAUGAGUAUGACCUAUGAUCAAAUGUUCUCAUUUGACUCCUAAGUAAAUAUACUCAUAUAUAGAUGACCUAGUCAUUGCCAAUUGCUUGAUAGAUGCUAGAGUGUUUUUGCGUGCUUUGUCACAUAUUUCAUUUGCCAUUUUAUUGUGUGAGCAUGUUGAUUGCAUAUUUUUACUCAUUCGAGGACAUCCAUUUGUUGCUUUGAUUGUUUGGCUCUUCUUCUUUUGCCAAAUGGAUGGAAAAGAAUGCCUAAGAACUUCCUCUAGCUAUCUAUGUUUUUCUCGUCUCAAACUCUAUUCAUGCUACAUCACAAAGUAGUCAGAUUCGAACCCUCUGUGUGAGGAGCACUCGGAGUCACCGAUUCGUCAUAGACUUAAACUUCCAAAACCUCUCUGUGCAUUUCGGUCUGACCGAUUUCACUGAGUUGAUCUAGGUUUUCAAUCUCAGUGCAACCGAUUAGAACCUUUCGCUCACACCGAGUUGCAGUAACCGCUUGCGAUUCUGCAUCUCGGUGCCACCGAGUUGUUCCACUCGGUCACACCGACAGGGUCAGGAUAUAUAUACCGACGGAUCAAAAUUUGGAAAUUCCUCCAAAACCUCUUCGCCCGCGCAUGUCCUGCUCUGCCGUCUCAGGUCUCCGGAUCGUCCUCUCGUCGUCAGCGACCUCCCACCGCUAGUCUCCGUCGCCGUCAAUGGAAUUCUACACCGCCGUUGCCGCCGCAGCAAGCUCAUCACCGAACUAGGGUAUGAGUUCGAAUCUUUGUGCUGUCCUUAUCUCCGGUUCUUAGCACAAAGCAAAUGCCAUGUUUCUUACCACGUAUGAGAUCAUCCUAUCCAGCAAAAACUUCCUUUAGAUUAGAUUUGAUUCAAAAAUUUAGGGUUAGGUUUCCGCCGAACUCAUCUCGGACCGACCGAGUUGUGGAAAUCGGUCUCACCGAUUUGGCUUAGGCCAUUGCACUGGCACGUUUCGGUCUGACCGAAACUUGCAAAUCGGUGUGACCGAGUUCAACUCUCAGUGAAACCCUAGCAAUCUCGGAGUCACCGAACUGUGUCUCGGUCUGACCGAUUUCACUAGUUUAGACUCCAAAAGUUGCUUCGGUGUCACUGAGUUUAACAAAUCGGUAGCUCCGAAAUGCUUUCUGUGGAAAACUAAAACUAAGUUUUGACUCAUCUGUUUUGCAAAAUCUCUGCACUUUGUGAUGCUCAUCCACUCUAUCUCAUCUAUAACUAUUCACAGGGUCAACUGUCAGUUUGUAGUGCCAGAAUGUCUGAUCAGAGUGAUACCCAGAAUAAGUCUGAAGAGCAAGUGAAUCUGAGUGAGGGCACUAGUCCCUCUGGCAGUUAUGAUGAAGGCAGCAGAAGUACUCCUAGCAAUCUGCCUAAGGCUGAUACCAGGCAGAGGAGGAGGAGGAAUUCUGAGUCUGAAGAUGAAGACUAUGUAGCUACUGAGGAGGAGGUCAGCUCCAAGAAAAAGGUUGUCAAGAAAGAGUUUGGCACAGCUGCAUCUACAAAGCCUGGUAUGCAUAAGAAGGCUCCUGCAAAAAGAGUGCCCAUGUCUAAGGCUAGAGCCUCCACUCUUGAAACUUCCAAAUCAACUGGUGGAGAGGCUGCUGGUGAGGGCAAGAAGAAGAAGGAAAGGAAGAGAGGAAGAUGGUGCAAGAAAGUGGAUCCCAUGGCAGAAUUUGAGAAGCACUCCUCUAAUGAGGAUGAAGAGGAAAGGAAGAGGAUGCUACACCAGCACCGAAAGCUCAAAAGAUAAUGGGGGAUGCCAUCAAGUCUGGGGCUGCCCCUUCUAAGCCCAAGAAAGCCCCGAAGCUUCUGCUCCAGCUCUGAAGACUGCACCAAAGAGGAGCACAAGGAAUAUACCAGUUGCUGAGAAGAACAAGGCCCCAAUGCUUGAGACUGAAAUUGAAGAAGAAGAUGCUGAAGCCCAAGUGCUUAGGAAGCUCAAGACCAAGAUCCCUGACCAUGAUGACAAUCAUCCAGUGGUGGAAAAUAUGAAGAUCAGAAAGGAUGCAGGUCUCAGAUUAUGGAGAGAAUCUGAUCCAUAUGCUGUGAGGAGAAGGACUGCUGUGGAUUAUAGGUUUCACACCAAGGAGCAUCAGGAUUUCUAUGAAACUAUUCUGCUUGAUAAGAAGCCCAUAGUGUGUGAUAUGAAGUGGGCAGAUUGGAAAUAUAUUGACAACAAUGAAGACCAUUUUCUAGGAGUGCAUGAGAGCUUCAGGCUGUGUGGAGUAGAUGCUUUCGUGGGUCAGAAACUCACCAAGUGGAAUGAUGAACUUAUUAUGCAAUUCUACUCCACAACACAUUUCUAUCCUGAUGGCAGAAUUGUUUGGAUGUCUGAAGGUACUAGGUACCAAUCAACAGUUACUGAAUGGGCCAAACUAAUUAAUGCCCCUGAAGAGCAUGAGGAUCACAUAGGUGUCUAUGCCAAGAAGAAGAAGGAUCACAACUCCAUGGCUAACAUGUAUAAGGAAAUUCCUGACAAAGCCUUGGAAACUCACAAGAUGGGCUCUGUAUACUAUCUGUUGUCUGGUUUGACCACCAUCAACACUAUCUUGAGGCAUACCUUGUUGCCCAAAUCAGGAGAUCAUAGGAUGAUCAGAGGUCAUUCCAUAAACUUGCUGCAGUUGUCUGAUGUGCCCCAAAAGUUCAAAGUGAUGAGUCUGAUUGUUGAGACAAUCAAGAGGACAGCUGCAGAUCAGAAGAGAUCAUGUGGGUAUGCUCCACACAUCCAGAUGCUCAUCAACUCCAAGAUGGUCACAGGCACAUACUUAUUGGACAAGGGACAUCUUCCCUUGAGGCCUGAUUUUGAGGACAACACAGUUGUCAUGAAUGAGGAAGAUCCUACAUCUGUAGAGGCUCAAGAGAAGAGGGAUAAAGCUAAAGCUGAUAAAGCAACAAAGAUGCCAAGUGCUGAAGAGGCUUCUCAAGUGUUUCUCAAGUCAAAGCAAGAUCAACUUGGAUAUCUAAUUCAAGCCACCUUGAGGAUUUAGAAGGGAUUGGCCACCCUGACUCAGAACCAAGAAAGCCUGGAGAGGAUCAUUGAAACAAAAUUCUAUGAUCUAGACUUGAAGGUGACAGAGAUGCAGACAACAGUUGAGAAGCUUCAGGAAGAAGCUGAAGAGAGGAAAGGGCAGGCUACUACAGAUGCAUUUCAGAGAGUGCCUAGGGCACAAAGAUCUGCUACAGUGCCAGUGACUGACACAAGAGCUACUACAUCAGCACCUGUAGCCACAUCAUCAGUAGCACCUCUAGUUGCCACUCCACGAGCUCCAACAACUUCAACAGAUGCAUUCGUCCUUGGAGUCCUCUCAACGCCGCCUCCCAAAGAUCAAGCCUAGAGAGACGCAUAGCACUAUGCAUUUUCGAGCUUUUUGGUAACUUGUUGCCAAAGGGGGAGAAAGUGUAUAGAUCAUAGGCUUCGAUAGAGAGUGCUUUGCUUCUUUUUGCUAUCUCUUUUGCUUCUUGGUCAAUACUUUUUGUGUGCUUGCUUGGAUGAUACUUUAUGUGUGUGUGAGAUACUUGUUUGAUCAUAUCACUUUAAUGCUUGUGCUUGAAUGAUGCUACUACUUAUCUCUCAUAUAUGAUCAUUCACUUUGUCUUGGUGAUGAGUGCAUAUUUUACUUUCUAUCAUUUUGAGUGCUCCACCAAGAUGUAUGUGACAUGGAAGAGUAACCCAUGAUUCUAAUCGAUUGUGCAUUUGCAUUCAAAAGCAAAUUUUUAAAUAAUGCACAAAUUUAGGGCGAGCUCUUGCUUAUCACAUACUUCUCAAAGCGACGAUGUAUUUCAAUCUUAUUAUCAUUUGUCAAAGCUUUGAUCUAUAUGUUGUCAUCAAUUACCAAAAAGGGGGAGAUUGAAAGUGCAACUAUCCCUGGGUGGUUUUGGUAAUUCCUAACAACAUAUAGCUCAUUGAACUAAUGCUCUUUCAAGAUGAUCAUUUCAGAAAGUUCAAUGAUUGGCAUGGCAUGGACUAGGAAUGUGGACCCCUCAAAAUGCUAUGGACACAUGUUGGCUCAAGCUCAAGACUCUACAUUUUCAUUUCAGUGAUCCAAGAUCACAUUGAGUCCAUAGGAAAAGCAAAUGCUAUUAAAAGGGGAUGAGGUGUUGCUUAAUGGCUUGCUUGCUCAAAAUGCUUAGUGAUAUGCUCCAAAAGCCCUGAACCACUUUGUCAUAUCCACAUAUGUCCCAAACCAAAAGUCAAACUCGGCCCCACCGAUUUGAUCUAUCCGGCACCACCGAGUUCAUUUGACAUAGCCGUAGCCAGAAACCCUAAUUAGUUCGGUCUCACCGAUAGGGAUCUCGGUCUCACCGAGAUGCGAUUGCAAACUCUCUGUUUCCUUUCGUAAAGUUUUGGUCUAACCGAGAUGAGCGAUCGGUCCCACCGAGUUCGCAAUGCAAACUCUCCGUUUCCUUUUCGUAACGUUUUGGUCACACCGAAAUGAGCGAUCGGUCCCACCGAGUUUGCAUGGCCAACUCUCUGUUUGCCUAUUACAGAAAUCGGUCUCACCGAGUUUAUGUGAUCGGUCUCACCGAGAUUAUGUUAUGCCCUAACCCUAAUGAAGUCGGUCCCACUGAGUUGACAUGUCCGUCCCACCGAAAAGCCUAACGUUCACAUUUUGAACUAAAUCGGUCUGACCGAGUUUCAUGAUUCGGUCCCACUGAGUUUGGUGAAUUGUGUGUAGCGGUUAGAUUUUGUGUGGAGGCUUUAUAUACCCCUCCACCCACUCUUCAUUCAUGGAGAGAGCCAUCAGAACGUGCCUACACUUCCAGCAUUCAUUUUCUGAGAGAGAACCACCUACUCAUGUGUUGAGACCAAGAUAUUCCAAUCCAACCACAAGAAUCUUGAUCUCUAGCCUUCCUCAAGUUGCUUUCCACUCAAAUCAUCUUUCCACAAAAUCCAAAUAUGUGAGAGAGAGAGUUGAGUGUUGGGGAGACUAUCAUUUGAAGCACAAGAGCAAGGAGUUCAUCAUCAACACACCAUCUAUUACCUUUUGGAGAGUGGUGUCUCCUAGAUUGGUUAGGUGUCACUUGGGAGCGCCUCUAUCAAGAUUGUGGAGUUGAACCAAGGAGUUUGUACGGGCAAGGAGAUCGCCUACUUCGUGAAGAUCUACCCUACUGUGGCAAGUCCUUCAUGGGCGAUGGCCAUGGUGGGAUAGACAAAGUUGCUUCUUUGUGGACCCUUCAUGGGUGGAGCCCUCCGUGGACUCGCGCAACCAUUACCCUUUGUGGGUUGAAGUCUCCAUCAACGUGGAUGUACGAUAGCACCACCUAUCGGAACCACGCCAGAAAUCUCCGUGUCUAUAUCGCGUUUGCUCCCUCCAAACUCCUCCCCUUUACCUUCAUAUGCAAUGUUUUACAUUCCAUUUCUAUACUCUUAGAAUUGCAUGUGUAGGUUGAUUGCUUGACUUGUGCUAAGUUGCUAAAAUCUGCCAAGACUUAAAAUUGGGAAAAGGCUAGAUUUUAUUUGGUCAAGUAGUCUAAUCACCCCCCUCUAGACAUACUUUCGAUCCUGCAAUGUAUGAUAAGCAGACAAUCACACGCAUUCACUUUUCACGAACCGUAUGCGAUAACUAAUUAAGAAGAUUAGCUAAUCAUCAUAUGAGUGUCGGAUAGGAUUACGAAACAUCGAACCGUCGUAAUAUAGCCGUACAUGAUAACUAUCGCACACGCUAUUCUGUGGUGUAACGUUUACGAUGCGUACCACAUUAGAAACAGUUCAUGGUUGCAAAUCGUGUACGAUAAGGCAACUAUCACAAACGUUUAAUUUGCCCACACCUUUUGUGAUAUUGUCUGAGAUCGCAUACUCUUUGCAAACAACAACUGUGUGCAUGCUUGCACAUGUUUCCUCUCUGUGAACCAUGUCAGAUUAUGGUGUAUAUCACAAACAUUUGUGUUUUACCGACCGUGUGCGCCGUAACGACCUGCAGAGCAUAAUUUCACCGCAAUUUAAUUAUUGCAAUUCCAAACUCUACCGGUUUUGAAUUUGAAAGUAUGCUAUAGCUUUAUUCGUAUCCAUCAGGUUCAAACAACCAAUGCAUAUGUUCAAGAAUUACAUAAGCACCAAAUAAAGAAUGAAGAAGCACAGUUGUAUACUUGUACUAUUAAAGACGGUAAAGAAAGAGGCGAAAUACAUUCUGGUUGCUGAACAAGGUGAAGCGGAAUGCCCAUAUUGUGCCCUCCUCCAUGCAGAAGGCACGCACGACUCUAGUCCAACCCCUUGUGAUGGCUGACCGCCCAUCCUUCACUGUCUUCAUGAACACAUCUAGAUAAUCAUCGUGCUCUAGUAGAAAUACUUUAACCUUUGCAUGCCCACCAAUCAUGUAGUUUGAGAGGUAACCUUGAGUAAACUGCUUUGGGAACCACUGCAAAGGAAAAAGAUUCAGACAUUGUCAUCUAACACAACUCAUUAUGGGCAGUAAAAAGAAGGCUGCAGAGUUCUUACUUACCAUCCUGCAGUUCGAUGUUGUCUUGGAUAAAGUGUAAACAAAUUGUUUAAUUGCCAUCUUUUGACCCAUUUUAAAAACAACCUUUAUCAGCUUCCUCACUUGACGCUGGUUCAUCAAUAUCUCAUUGCCCCAUAUGCAGAAAGGGUCGAAGCGCGGAUCUUUACCAAUGACAUAUGUACCUAAAAGCACCAAGUUAAUAUUAGAAGCUAAACAACAAUUGCACAACGAUGUAGUACAACACUCCUUCCGUCCCAUUAUAUAAUAUCUUAUAACAUCCAAUAUACUUACAUAUUGGAUAAAUUAACAUCUUAUAUUAUGGGUCAGAGGGAGUUUAUUGCAUUUUUACAAAUUAUCGUCUGAUUAACUACUGCUGUGGCCCUGUUUGGAUCCAUGAGUUAGAGUUAGUUUGAGCUAGUUUGGGAUCAAAUAGCCCUAAAGUAUAUCUGAACAUGAGGGCUAGUUUGAGCUAGUUGCAUCUAACCCACCCCAAAAAACUGCCCCACCCAAGAGGUGCUAAUUGGAGCUAGUUCUCCUAGUGUAUUUAUUGUCAAUCUAACCCUAUCAUCCAAACACCUCUUCGGCUAGAGUUAGUUCAGGGUUAGUCAUGAGCUAGAAACUAAGUCUAACCUCUAGCUAAGUUAGAGUAUCCAAAUAGGGUUGUUGUUGUUGGUGCUUUUCUACGUAUAUCUAGACAUCAUCAGAAAAUUAAGGUAACACUCUUCCUUGUUGCUUUGUAGCCUAGGAUUACAUAUUUAGACAUUCAGUAUGGUGCAUGUUGAUAUGUACCCUCAGAUAUAUUACAUAUGGCCCUAGUUAACCUAACAAUAAAUGGGUUAUAGAUAUAUUCAGUUAAAAGUCCGAUUCACCGAUUAGUCUCUUAUCAUCCCCCAGCCUAUAUGGUGGUACCAGCUAUCGAUAUCCUGAACAGUGAGUAUAUAUAAGCCAUGUGAUGAAACUAACCUCGAUGGAAAACAAUAGUCGUUCCCAAAAUUGUCCUGUGUAAGUACAUCGAGAGGCAUGUUAAGCACAAUAGGCUAAACAUCAACCAAAUAUAUCCAUGGCAGACAAAAUAAUCUCCAAAAGAUAGCUUCAGUGUGCAGGUUUAAGCACGCUAGUAAAGCAAAACACGUGGAAAUGUGUGUUAACUGCAACAGGCCUAACAUUUAGCAACAAGCAAACAUAGUCAUUCAAGCUGGUAUUGUGCCGCUCUAAUUAUAUUGGUUAUUGUUAAAUAAAAAUGGAAAGGUGUGUUAACUACAACAUGCAGCAACCAAAUGUAGUCAUUCAUAGUGGUAUUGAUGAAAUUGAACAACACAGUUCAUACUUGCACAUAUAGAACAUCACGUUGUGAAUAACUGGAAUAAACAAGCCAUACUACGAACAACCAAAGAUAGCAUUUGAAACUGGACAUAUGCUAACUACAAACAACCGAACAACCAAAAAACUUUAAAAGAGGCAUAUGCUAGCUAUAAUAGGCUUAACAUCAAGCAAAUAUAUGCAUUCCUAUCGGUAUGUUUAAAACUGGUAUUGAUGAAAUUGUACUGCACAGUAAAUAGUUGCACAUAUAGAGCAUCACAUUGUGAACAAUUGAAAUAAACAAGGCAUACUACAAAAAACCAAAUAUAGCAAUUAAAAAUGAACAUAUUCUCACUACAGUACAAAAGGGACUCGACAAAACAAAUCAUGGGUUCGCCCCUGUGAAGAGGCACAACAAAAAAAUCAUAGGUUUCCACACUUGUACAGAUGGGCUCAUUCCCGUGGGAAGAGCACGGACCCUGCGUGCGCUCCAUGUUGUCACAGAUGGGCUCCUUCCCCUUGGAAGAGCACGACUGUAGGGUGCCCUCCCUGAUGUCGCAGAUGGGCUCUUUCCCCUUGGAAGAGCAGAUGAGUUGUUUCCCCUUGGAAGAGCCGGAGAGGGCGCCCUCCUCGUGGUCGCCGUCGAUGAGGUCUGACUUGGAAGCUGUGGAUCCCAAGCCAGCAUCACAGAACGUGUCCUUCAGAAAUGAGAAAAGGGGCUCGAUGGCGAUGUAGGAUGGCAUAUUCUUGACAGCGAGCGAGAAGAGAUCAGUGGCGGGGCCAUGGAUGAGAUCGACGGCGGUUGAACCCAAGGGGUUGGGGGUGGGCCACUUAACCUGUGACAUAGCCCGUGUCAGGCCGUCCCUUUCGACGACCUCGAUGUCGUAGCCGGCGUCUGCGACAUACCCGCAUAGUCUAGCCCGCUGAUUGAGUGCCUGCAGCCAGUAAUGGUCGUCAACUUCCACGGCGGCCACCUCGGCGACGUUGUCGAAGAGGCUGCGAUACACCUCUUUUGGGCCAGUCUCUCCUCAAGCUCCACGGGAAGCGUAGCCGAGCUUAGGUUGCGAUGCUCUGGAGUGGGGGAUGGGGAUGGGGAUGGGGAUCUGUGGGAAAUGGGGCAUUUGGCAGGCGUCAUCUAAGAAACUCAAGGCGGCCUGGGUAUGGAGAUCAGUGGGUAAGCUGCACGGGCAAACCAGCAGAUGUUGACAAUGGAGGCCUUGCGGCGGCGGCGGUGACCUUGCUAGGGUGUCAAGCGAGGGAGGAGUUGUGGUGUGUGUGUGUGUGUGUGUAUACGCGCGCGCGUGCACCCGAGGAGUUUUUGGGGUGUGUGUGUGGAGGGGGGUGUUUGAGGAAAUGACGCGGCUACUGAAAAUUUUACUACGCGGGAGUAAAAUGCCGGGGCUAUUGAAAAUUUGGAUGAUGGUGCACCGCACACGGUCCGGAAAUAACUACCGUGUGUUAUGAAACAGGAAAACCCUCGAGCCGGGCAGAUAUUUUCGAGGGAUGCAGGCGGGAGUGGGAACAAAAAACAUCACACACGGUCGAAACAUAAUAAUCGUUUGUUAUCAAACGGAAAAAACCUGUAGGCGGGUAGAUAUUUUUGAGAGGGAAAGCCUCGUGGAGCCCAAUGUAUUGUGCUGAUGUGCGUGACAGGGGAACCAACGUGGCACACGGUUAGUGUGAGUGAACCGUGUUUGUUGCAUCAUCCGACUCGUCUAAUGUUCAUAAAUUUGGUGAAAAUGACGCGGGAAAAGGGUCAGAACACGAACACACAUGCAUGUGGACCAAAUAUAUGUAUGAAAAGGGUGGUUUGAUGUUCAAAUACCAAAUGCACAACUUCGAUGUGGCACCUAUCUCACAAAAGCACACAGUAUUGCUUGUCCACUCCCUUGUGUCGGCAGGUGGGAAUCCUAAGCUAUGAAUGCAUGCCCGCCCCCACGGAGGUCCACCUAGCAAAGUGCGAAGUAGCAGUCCCCCCAUCACACACACACACACACACACGCACGCACACACUUUCAGUAGGCGGGAGACGGCAUCUCACCAAGAUGUAUCGUAGAACGGACCAAGAAUAAUCCACCUUGGUCGUACAACCUCUCUCUUGUUGUUGGUCAAAGUGAUGGCUGUCCAUGUGACCCCAGAGAUGGGCUAGCUCGCCAAUAAUCACGCAAGUAGCUAGUCCUCGAAGACAACCACUGCGUGCAUGUGGCCCAAACAUAUGCAUGGAGUGCUGAUGUUUGAGUACACAAUGGAACAACUUUGCUGUGACAUCGUGCUUUGGAACCAGAAAUCCACACACGGAGCAAGGGUUAGUUGAUGACGCAUAUGUAUGUCACACCACACUUCGAGCCGAUGACGAGAAUUCAUGCAUGCAUGCAUAGUAUGCGCUCAAACUUAGGUCUGAACCUCACCAUGACCUACUACGAUAACACAAACCAAAGGAAGAAUCCACCAUCAUAACCUAUGUCGUUGUCGGUCAAAGUGAUCAUGGAUGUCCAUGCGGGCCCACGAAUAUAUAGGCUUGUCGUCGAUAACCACGCGAGGGAGUCUACCAUUCGAAGAUAACCACUAUAUGCAUAUGUAUGUAUGGAGGUGAUGCAUGCAUGCAUGUUUUAAUACCAUUCACAACAUUGAUGUGGCGCGUGAGUCUAAAAUCGUACACUCCCCACAUAGAGCGAGAUUGGUUCAUGACGUGUCGUGGUACGGGCCACUUUGACUCAACGAGAGGGAUUCAUGCAUACACAUGCAUGUGUGCUCAAACUAUAUCAUGUCAUCCCAGAGCAUGACCUAUAUACCGUAAUACAAACCAAAAAAUAAUCCCCUCCUAUGUCAAAUUAACCUCUCACUAGUACAGCGAGGUGCUAUACAAACGGUUUUUAACCCCUUUCCGUGACGGCAUUUGGAACCGUCGCCUAGUGAGUGUGGGCGAUAUGGGGGUCCUUCCCACACGACCCAGAAAUCGUCGGGGAUAUGCCCUCCUGGCACACACGCUUGGCAAAUGAGGUCGUGUGCGACCGGCGAGCGACCUAAUACCGUUAUACUUACAGUAGUGCAAAAAAAUACAAUUAUACAGGCGAAAUCAUUUCCGGUCGUAAGAAAAUCCCACAUGGUCAGUCCCCGCUAAACGUUUCCGUUCGUAUAUACAUCCCACACAGUUGUUCCAAGGAAAACGUUUCUGUUCGCAGGUACAUCACACACAAUUUUCUCCGUUAAAUCCUUUGUGAUAGCGUUUCCAUUGCACACGGUAUUAGCAAUUUUAUCAUUUGCGUUAUUGAAUGCAUCACACACGGUGCGUAGAAGAAACUGUGUGGCAAAGGCUGUCCAUCACACACAGUUAUGUGGUAAACGUUUGCGCCAGGUGGCCUAACGCAAACAGUUUUCAAGAGGAUGUCGUGUGUGAUUGUUCAUUAAUCUAACACGGUUUAUUCCUAGAAACUGUCCUGAGGUCAUUGCCCAUGGUGUUUUCUCAAUAACCGUUUGCAAUAGAAAACCCCAAUUAGUAGGCUAAUUAUCCUAUUAUUAAUAAUCCAUUUAUUAAUCUAAUUCACAUUUUCAUAUUAAGCACACAAUAUAUUUCAUUUUCAUGAUUGAAAUACAUUAGAGUACAACAUCAUAUAGCUUCAGCACUCAUCUACCCCAUUACACAACUGCACCAGCACCAAGUUUCACAUGCAACAUCUAUAACCUUUCGAAAUUAGCAUCAUAGACGGUACAUAGACAGAUGUAUCUCAUCUGGAAAACUGUUGAAGCAGAAGGCGAAUAUUGAGCCUUCAUUGAUGUUGAAGGUCUUUGCAACUUUAGGCCAAUGCCUGUGGAUGAUUGACCAUCCAUCCUUCGUCCUCUUCAGGAACACUUCAAUAUUGAACCGUGGGUGUUGUAUGAAUGCCUUCCUCGCCUCCUGACCAUACAGGUGGGUUGAGAAGUAAUCAUCAGUGAACUGCUUUGGAAAGGCUUGAAAACAAGGAUGUGAAUAAAUAUCUUCUCUAUAUUGGAAAUGGGGCAAAGAAAUAAGAAAGGCAAGGUAUAAUAGUUAGUACCAUCCUAUAGUGAACUAAUGUCUUCUUCAUUGUGCAGACAAGAUCUUGUUGUUUUUUGUCGCUAAUUUCUUUAUCCUAACAAUCUUUCUGAGUUUCUUGACUUGACUGAUAUUCAUGGACAACUCAUUUCCCCAUAUGCAAAAAGGGUUGAAAAGUGGGUCACAAGCUCUGACAGCAGGACCUACAUGUGCAAGACCAAAUUGUUAAAAACCUAAAUAUUAGAAUGGUUCCUGCAAUUGCACAAUAAUGUGCUAUUAGAGAAAGGACCAUGCAUGUGCAAAUCUCGAUUGUAAACCUCAGUGCUUCCCAUUGUUUCCCUGCAACACAUAUAAGGUAGUUAGUCAUCAGGUUAAGUGAGGGUUCGCAUGCUAUCAGUAAAAUAUGUUGAUGAAAAAUAAGCACAUUGCAGAUUCAUCAGAUUAAUUCAAGCCAUAUGGAAAACCCAUUUAUCCAAACCAAGCAUGAUUAAGAAGUAGGAAAUAUAGCACUUGUAUAUGUUUCUCAUGUAUUAAGUGCAGCCAAAUUCGAUUUAUUCCUCACAUGCACAACAAUACAAAAUUCUACCCAUGACAAUUGGACAUCGCAUUGCAGAAUUGAACCAAGCAGUUAACUAAACACCACAACAAAUGAACCAAACAUUAACUGAGCACCACAUUGCACAAUAUAACAUACUCCUAAUAGAAGAUCAGACAGUUAACAAAACUAAGCAUGCUUAACAACUUGGAAAUAUACAAAUUGUAUUUGUUGCUCAUGUAUUUAGUACAAGCCAAUUAAAUUUAUUCCUCACGUGGUAUACAAUAACAGAAUGCACCCACAACAAUUGAACAUUGCAUUGCAGAAUUGAACCAAAUAGUUAACUAAACACCACGACAAAUGAACCAAACUUAACUGAGCACCACAUUGCACAAUGUAUAACAUACUAGAAGAUCAGCCAGUUAACCAAACCAAGCAUGCUUGACAACUUGGAAAUAUAGCAAUUGUAUUUGUUUCUCAUGUAUUUUGUAAAAAAAAAUCAAUUUAUUUCUGACAUGGAAGACAAUACAAAUUUGCACCCUGAAGAAUUGAACAUCACAUUUGCAGAAUUGAACCAAACAGUUAACUGAACACGACAACUAAUUAACCAAAUAGUUAAAAGGGUGGGCUUGAGAAAACGCCACGAACUGUCAUUUAAAGCAGCCAACCGUGUCGCGUCGUCGGCGCACGAGGCGUCGAUGGUGGCCUCAACGGCGAGGUGGUCCUCCAAGAUCUGGGGGUCGGCACAAAUGGCAGCCAUCGUGACCUCAUCCGCGCGUGCGGCCGCGAUUUGCUUAUCCGCUGCCAAAUGCUCCUUGAGCUCCUGGCUAUACUGCGGGCACCAUGGCUUAGGGUAGCGCUUAUUUGGUGGAGGGGCCGGUGAUUUGGGUGGAAGGUGUCGCGCCGGCGGUCGGGGCAUGUGGGAUGUGGAAGGAGGAGGAGGAUGGGGCGUCGGGUGUGGAUUACCUGCCUGGAUAGACGAGGUCGAGCAACGUGAAGGAGGGUCGCCGGCGAGGAGGCGGCGCUGCAAGCAAGGAGUGAAGGUUUCAACUUGGAAAGGAAGGCAGAAAUAGGGGAAAUGUGGCUUUUGGUAAGGGGGAGGGGGCAGGGAGGUAGAUAUUUCCGCGGAAGCCGAAAAUUUGGAAUCGCUUCAGCGAAAAAGUUGGCGCGUAAAGUGUCAUCAGAUAGGUCCCUUAUUCAGAACUGUGUACGAUAUGUGAACAUCACAAACGAUUCAGAUAGCUUAACCCGUGUGUGAUGAGUUUGAACGUCAAAAAUUUUGGUUCGAAUUUCCCUGCUUAUAGUGGUCAUUCACGUCAUUGCAUAAUUUGGGUACACAAAGGAGACUACAGCACACCCACACUUCUUAAUCGAGCAAGUUCAGCAAUUAAACAAAGCUAGCUGACCUAAAGAUUACUCUAACAAAUUAAAGACCGACGCUCUUAAUUAAACAAAACAAAGAGUACUACUAUGGCUGGUGCUCGUCGAUCUCCGCCACCGCCUCCAUGUCCAGCUCGCGCCCGACGGUCUCCUGGGGAAGGGGCUCCAUGGCAUCCAUCGCACCAUACUCGACAAGCAUCUCGCCAUCCGCAUCCGCCAUCUCUUUGGAACAGUCCACCACGAGCUGGGCAUGGGCGGCCGCGAUCUGGGCUUUGGCAGGAUCCAUCGUGGCAAGGUAUGCCGCGCAGGAACGGAGGCUGCUCGAACGCUCUCGGCGAUUGCCAACUCUUCGGCCGUGGGUUGCCGACCGUUGUCGGAGAAGCUUCCUUCGAUUUGUGCGGUGACCGCCACGAGCUGGGCAUGGGUGGCCUCGACAUGGUCGUGGGCGUCCUCCAUCAGAGCUAAGGCCGCCGCUGCGGAACGGACAGCUAUUGUGCCGCUCUCGCCAGUUGCUAUCCCCCAGAUGUUGCUGCUGCCGCCUGAGAAUCAACAGCGGCCGUUUGGGCUGCCUUGGCCGCCCGGGCGCAGAUUGUGGUCGUCCUCAUGAAGCUUGUUAGCACGUGCCUCGCGGCUGCGGCCGCGCUCCCGCUGGAGUGGGCCGCCGAAGUUGCCCUCACGACGUGGGUCCACGUCCCCAUCUUUCACCGGCGAUGAUUGAAUAGUGAAAUGAUAUUUGGGGAGCAAGCUAGUGUGCUUGACACACCGGCUAUGGACUGUAGCCAUCGCACCCUUUCGCAUAAGCCGUAUGCAUACUAUACUCCGACGGUGCUCCAAGAUAUUUUGUGCUGCAUCUCACACGGUUGGUGAUAAUAAACUAUGUGCGAUCUACUUGAUUUUUUGCCUUGAUUUGAAUUACAUAAUGGGGUCACAGCUGCAAAGGAUGGUGUUUGAAUUGCUAGAACUUUUAUUUGAACUGAACGUGCAACUAUAGGUGUGUCGUCAAAAGAAUUGGAAUUAUUCAGGGUUCGUUUGGACGUUUUUACACAUUAACUUGGUUUUGUAGGCAUUUCAGGUGCAUAAUUCAAAUUUGAACUACACGAACAUGCUCCACUGCGUAUAAACAGGUUGAAAAAUCAAAUAUGUGUCCUUGGUUGCAUGCUUAGGUCCCAUGCAAGAAAUGGGAUUGAAUGUUAAACACCCUCCCACUGUCACUGGGCCGCAAACAUUGAGAUACUUGGUUUUUAAAUUCUAUUAAAUGCAAAACUCGUCUGAAAUUCAUGAAACUUGGCAUGCUAUCAUGGAGCGGCAUCAACAUGCCGUGGUAAAAUUUUCGUCCCAUUUGGGGCAGGUUUGGGUAUAAGCUUCUCACAAACCAGAGCUUCUCACAACAAGCAUGAUGGUUUCGGUAGGGAAUGUGCCACCUUUGGGUACGAAACGAUAACCCUUGCCUCUUAUUGCUUUCAAAAAUUUUCUAGUGUCAACAUAGAACAACAGGAGUGUUGUGUUAAAUUUUGGAAUUUUCGGGGUUCGUUUGGACAUUUUUAUACAUUAACUGGGUUUUCUAGGCAUUUUAUGUGCAUAAUACAAAGUUGAACUACAUGCACAUGCUCGAGUGCAUAUAAAUUGGUUGAAAAAACAAAUAUGUGUCCUUGGUUGCAUGCUUAGGCCCCAUGCAAGAAAUGGGAAUGAAUGUCAAACACCCUGCCACCGUCACUGGGCCGCAAACAUUGAGAUACCUGGUUUUUAAAUUCUAGUAAAUACAAAACUCGUCUGAAAUUCAUGAAACUUGACAUGCUAUCAUGGAGCGGCAUCAACAUGCCAUGGUAAAAAAUUUGUCCCAUUUGGGGCAGGUUUGGGUAUAAGCUUCUCACAAACCAGAGCUUCUCACAACAAGCGUGAUGGUUUCGGUAGGGAACGUGCCACCUUUGGGGACGAAACGAUAUCCGUUGCCUCUUAUUGCUUUCAAUUUUUUUCUAGUGUCAACAUAGAACAAGAUGAGUGUUGUGUUAAAUUAUGGAAUCUUUCAAGGUUCAUUUGGACAUUUUAAUACAUUAACUGGGUUUUCUAGGCAUUUUAUGUGCAUAAUUCAAAUUUGAUCUACAUGCACAUGCUCCGGUGCAUAUAAAUUGGUUGAAAAAUCAAAUCUGUGUCCUUGGUUGCAUGCUUAGGUCCCAUGCAAGAAAUGGGAAUGAAUGUCAAACACCCUCCCACUGUCACUCGGCCGCAAACAUUGAGAUACCUGGUUUUUAAAUUCUAUCCAAAACUCGUUUGAAAUUCAGGAAACUUGGCAUGCUAUCAUGGAGCGGCGUCAGCAUGCCGUGGUCAAAAUUUAUCCCAGUUGGGGCAGGUUUGGGUACAAGCUUCUCACAACAAGCGUGAUUGUUUCGGUAGGGAAUGUGCCACCUUUGGGGACGAAACGAUAUCCGUUGCCUCUUAUUGCUUUCAAAUUUUUUCUAGUGUCAACAUAGAAUAACAGGAGUGUUGUGUUAAAUUUUGGAAUUUUUCAGGGUUCGUUUGGACAUUUUUAUACAUUAACUGGGUUUUCUAGGCAGUUUAUGUGCAUAAUUCAAAUUUGAACUACAUGAACAUGCUCCAGUGGAUGGUUGAAAAAUCAAAUCUGUGUCCUUGGUUGCAUGCUUAGGUCCCAUGCAAGAAAUGAGAAUGAAUGUCAAACACCCUGCCACCGUCACUAGGCUGCAAACAUUGAGAUACGUGGUUUUCAAAUUCUAGUAAAUCCAAAACUUGUCUGAAAUUCAUGAAACUUGGCAUGCUAUCAUGGAGCGGCAUCAACAUGCCAUGGUAAAAAAUUGUCCCAGUUGGGGCAGGUUUGGGUAUAAGCUUCUCACAAACCAGAGCUUCUGACAACAAGCGUGAUGGUUUCGGUAGGGAACGUGCCACCUUUGGGGACGAAACAAUAUCCGUUGCAUCUUAUUGCUUUCAAAUUUUUUCUAGUGUCAACAUAGAACAACAAGAGUGUUGUGUUAAAUUUUGGAAUCUUUCGGGGUUCAUUUGGACAUUUUUAUACAUUAACUGGGUUUUCUAGGCAUUUUAUGUGCAUAAUUCAAAUUUGAACUACAUGCACAUGCUCCGGUGCAUAUAAAUUGGUUCAAAAAUCAAAUCUGUGUCCUUGGUUGCAUGCUUAGGUCCCAUGGACGAAAUGGGAAUGAAUGUCAAACACCCUGCCACCGUCACUCGGCCGCAAACAUUGAGAUACCUGAUUUUUAAGUUCUUGUAAAUCCAAAACUUGUGUGAAAUUCAUGAAACUUGGCAUGCUAUCAUGGAACGGCAUCAACAUGCUAUUGUAAAAAUUUGUCCUAGUUGCGAUAGGUUUGGGUACAAGCUUCUCACAAUAAGCGUGAUGGUUUCGGUAGGGAACAUGCCACCUUUUGGGGCGAAACGAUAUCUGUUGCCUCUUAUUGCUUUCAAAAAUUUUCUAGUGUCAACAUAGAACAACAGGAGUGUUGUGUUAAAUUUUGGAAUUUUUCGGGGUUCGUUUGGACAUUUUUAUAUGUUAACUGGGUUUUCUUGGCAUUUUAUGUGCAUAAUUCAAAUUUGAACUACAUGCACAUUCUCCAGUGCAUAUGAAUUAGUUGAAAAAUCAAAUCUGUGUCCUUGGGUGCAUGCUUAGGUCCCAUGCAAGAAAUGAGAAUGAAUUUCAAACACCAGGGCACUGUUGAUUGCCGGCAAAACGUUGAGAUACUUUGUUUUUAAGUUCUAGUAAAUCCAAAACUCGUCUGAAAUUCAAGAAACUUGGCAUCCUAUCAUGGAAUGGCACCCGACAUGUUGUGGUAUUUUUUGUGUCCAUUUUGAGAGAAGGCGCACUCGAAUAACAACCAACAAAGGCAUUUUGAAACAAAUAGCUGCCACUGUAACAUCUCAAAUGUUUUGUAUAAUUUAAAUUGUGUGUUCUGUUAACCAUUCACGUAACGUCAUGCCUCACUCUUUUAAUGGCUAGGAGGUGCCGUGCGGACUGGUGCUUGAGUGCUUGACUAAACGGGAGGCGUGCGAGCUGUACCCCAAUGUGGAGGUUCACCGGGAAGUGUGCGAGCUAUACACUGCGUAGGCUCACCGGGAAGCGAGCCCUUUGACUUCCAUGGCCGCCCUUCUUGCUCGCAUCCUCUCCAUUAAUGGCGCCCAAGCCGCAGUUUAAUACGGUUUUAAAUAUAAAACACUCAUCGCAAACGUUUUAGUUAUAACACCCGUAUGCAAACCGACAACUUCCCUAGGAAGGCAAGGGAAAAUGUGCCGAGCUGGAUUUGUGCAGCUCUUGAUCGCAAACGUUUUAGUUUGAACACCCAUAUGCAAACCGACAGCUUCCCCAAGAGGCGAAGAGAAAAUGUGUCAAGCAGGAUUUGUGCAGCUCUUGAUUGCAAACGUUUUAGAUAGAACACUCGUAUGCAAAGUGAGAGCAACGGUCUUCCCCCUUAUGUCGAGGGAAAAUUCGCAGCGUAGGAUUUGUGCAUCCCUUCAACGCAAACGGUUGUUUUGGAUGACCCGUGUGCAACCAUGUACAAACAAUUUCGUAAGAUUUGCAUCUAUCAUAUUGGGUAUGUUGCCAUUUGUCAAACUGGAAAGAUUGACAUUUGUUGAUCUAGUAACAUUGCCAUUUGUCAAUCCUUGUAACACUGCGAUUUGUCAAAAUAUGCAGCUAAAAAUCACUAGCACUAUCUAAUUUUUGCAACUAAAAUUCAGUAAUUAAGCAUAGAUUGCAUUCAUAGAUUGAGCAGUCGUUCUUAAUUUAUACAAACAGUUCAACUCGAUAGCUGAACGACCACACUUUUCCCCAAUUGUUGCCAACCACGUACUGAAAUAGCUAGUUCAACUAUAUAUACUAGCUAAUUUUAUGUACGUUGUACAGUUCCACCACAUCUAUAGUCAGAUGAACUGAACAAAAUAGCCCCUAAAUACUACUACUACUACUAUGGAGGGGCUUUGUGCUACUUCCGGCAGCCUCUCCCCUGCCAAGCGCGCUCAGUAAGAAGCAGAGGAGGAGGAGGAGCCUUCCGACGAGCUGGACAACUGCAAUACGGUACCUGCCGCUGCUGCACAUUCAGCAACGCUCGCCAGCUCAAACACGCACUGCGGCUCCAGACGACCCCUCUCGAAGCGGCUGAACCGCUCGUACAUCUCCUGAUUCCUCGCCUCUGCGUCGGCGUGUGCUGUGGCCACGGCUGCAGUAAGGCUCUUUGCGUGCUCGACGAGGCGCUCCUCCUCCUAGAUACUCCAAUGUCACCUCAAGUAUCCGUGGGUAUGAUUAUACGAUAUGCAUCACACAAUCUCAGAUUCAUCUAUUCAACCAACACAAAGAACUUCAAAGAGUGCCCCAAAGUUUCUACCGGAGAGUCAAGACGAAAACGUGUGCCAACCCCUAUGCAUAGGUUCAUGGGCGGAACCCACAAGUUGAUCACCAAAACAUACACCAAGUGGAUCACGUGAUAUCCCAUUGUCACCACAGAUAAGCACGGCAAGACAUACAUCAAGUGUUCUCAAAUCCUUAAAGACUCAAUCCGAUAAGAUAACUUCAAAGGGAAAACUCAAUCCAUUACAAGAGAGUAGAGGGGGAGAAACAUCAUAAGAUCCAACUAUAAUAGCAAAGCUCGCGAUACAUCAAGAUCGUACCACCUCAAGAACACAAGAGAGAGAGAUCAAACACAUAGCUACUGGUACAUACCCUCAGCCCCGAGGGUGAACUACUCCCUCCUCGUCAUGGAGAGCGCCGGGAUGAUGAAGAUGGCCACCGGUGAGGGAUCCCCCCUCCGGCAGGGUGCCGGAACAGGGUCCCGAUUGGUUUUUGGUGGCUGCAGAGGCUUGCGGCGGCAGAACUCCCGAUCUAUUCUGUUUCUCGAUGGUUUUAGGGUAUAUGGAUAUAUAUAGGCGAAAGAAAUACAUCAGGGGAGCCACGAGGGGCUCACGAGGGUGGAGGGCGCGCCCCCUGCCUCGUGCCUUCCUCGUUGCUUCCCUUACGUAUACUCCAAGUCUUCUGGAUUGCUUCCGUUCCAAAAAUAACUCUCCCGAAGGUUUCAUUCCGUUUGGACUCCGUUUGAUAUUCCUUUUCUGCGAAACACUGAAACAAGGGAAAAACAGAAACUGGCACUGGGCUCUGGGUUAAUAGGUCUGUCCCAAAAAUAAUAUAAAAGUGUUUAAAAAAGCCCAUAAACAUCCAAAACAGAUAUUAUAAUAGCAUAGAACAAUCAAAAAUUAUAGAUACAUUGGAGACAUAUCAGCCGACAGUGGGGUGGCGGCCACGACGGCCACCUCCCGCCUUCGGGCCAUGGCUGUGGAGUGGGCGAUGGCCCUGGCUUUCGAUGGUGCUGUGGUGGCAACGGCGACCGGCAACAGCUGCCGACGGGUACCGGCGGCGGAGCGUGUGGUGGGUGUUCCGCGCACACCCAACUGGGAUGCCACGCGCACUACACUACGCUGGGGACUGUGCCGCCGCCGCGGUGUAGCUUCCCAGCUGGAGCCAUUCUCUGAUGACGGCGGAGUGGCUGAGCGACGACGACGGACUGGUGCCAUUGGCUAUUGUGGGAGAAGCAUACGAGAUAAGCUACAGGGAGGGAGGGGAAAAUGCGACGGAGGACUCGCCGGCCGUGAGGGUUUAUAUAGAAGGCCGGUAAGCAUUGGGAUUUUGGGGGAUUUCACCGAGUCGGGCAGGAAGCUUGCGCGGGAACCUGCGAGGUUGCGUGGGAACGGGCUCAUCGACGAUUCAUUGGCGCCAUCGUUUGGCCAAAACAACGCCCCUGUGCGCUGUGCAAGCUUGCGCUGUAAGCCGUCUGCGGCAGCGGGGUGACAAGACAUGCGAGAGGAGGACGAAAGGACACGUACACAUACGGUUAGUACAAAAAAAACAUUUGCGAUUUAAUUACCUACUAUACCCCCAUCCUGGUUUAUAAGUAGGAUUUAACUAAUAAAAUACGAAUGCAUGUCGCGAAAGAUUAUAUCGUUGGAUUCGUAUUUGAACAUAGUUUCUAGUUAUGCAAUUUUUGUAACAUGCAUUAACACUUUUUUGGUUAAAUUUAAGGUUAUAUACUAGCAAGCGUUUGCCCGCAACACACACGACUUAUUCCAUCACAAACAACUCGGAUGGAUCAAUCAUAUGCCACGUAUUGCACAUGCAACUCUAAUCUGAUUCAUGCUUAAUGUCUCCGACAUCGCUAGCACAGUUCGUCUUGUUUGCCACGUAUCACUGUGCCGGCCUCUGCUCGCGUCCCUCGGCAAGCUCUGCUCGCCGUUAGGCGCCGCAGCGUGCUGUGCUCGUUGUUAGGCGCCAUGGCAUGCUCUGCUCGUGUCCGUCGGCGCGCUCUGCUCGCAUCUGUCGGUGCGCUCAGCUUGUGGACAGCUUUUCCUUGCGUGUUCAACUCCUAUAUGCAUAUAUCUGGUUGCCCACCGUUGAGGCGACCGCGGAGCGCUCUUCUUGCGUCCCUCCGCGCGCGCUCUGCCAGCGGUUGGGUGUGCGCACGAUCACGUCGGGGGCCCCAUAUGCAUGAGGUUGCACCGCGCGCAUUGCCACGCGAUGGAGUUACGUGCGACACGAUGGAGUUACGCGCUGCAAAUUAGAACUCCCAAUAGGGCCUGCCGAUAUUCCAGGCCGUCCGGCUUCCCCUUUAAUUCCCGCGGCCAUUAUAACCUUAGUCUCUUCAAACUUUCGAUCGCGCCCCACAACACAACAUGCACACCCACGAUGACAUAUAGAGAGGGGAUGUCUAGCGGCACUCCAAUGGAGUUCGGCGAGCAUAAAGUGGAGACCCAUGCGAGGAGACGGAUCUCUCGGUGGUGUACAGCAUCGACCCGGCCAUGGUGGACGACUACAUGAACACCGUUGAGCUGUUGCUUGCUCGAGACAAGUACAAGGUGGUCGGCAUGGACCUCCAGUACACCACCAGCUGUCCCAACAUAGAUCAGAAGGUUGCCGUCGCCCAGUUGUGCGUGCGCCAUCAUGUCCUCAUCUACCACUACUGCAUGGCCAUAGAGCCCUGCGACCAUUUCACCAGGUUUGUCAACAGCACCGACUACAAGUUCGCCACGGUGGAAACCAUCGACGAUGUAAAAGCGCUCAGGGUUACGGGCUUGGCCUGCAAGAACUUUGUCGUAAUCCGUGAGCACUACAGGGUCUGGGGCAGCACGAAGGACUCCCUGGUUGAACUCGCCUCGGCCAUCAUCGACCCAUACUACGAAGAGAUGAAGCAGGAUGCCAACAGAACAUGCCCCGUAUCCUGGCACGGGGCCUGGAUGCGGCAACUGGAUGAACCUCACCUCAGGUUCACGGCCAAGAGCAUGUACACAUGCUACGAGAUGCACAUGCGGAUCGUUGACAUGAGGAAGUGCCUUGUUACAGAGAUCGAGGAAGUCGGAUCGAGCCACAACCAGGGCAAGCGUCACAAGAAGUAGAUGAUGAUCAGAUGAUCGUUUAUCCUAGUUAAUCAUGCAUGUAAUAUAUAGUUUACUUUGGUGUGUGGAAAUGUCAUGUGUGUAGUAGCCACCUAUGUAAUUAUGCACGUAAUAGUUUACUUUGGUGUGUGCAAAUGUCAUGGUUGUAGUAGCCACCUAUGUAAGUAGAUGUUUAAUUUGGUUAUGCAACCAUGUCCUUAUAAGUGUGUAUAUAUAUAUGUUGUUGUUCUGUAUGCAAUCCCAUCGCACAACACACACGUCUUAUUAGCAGCAAUCGUUUGUGUUAUUAUUGGCCUUCGCACACAUUUCUGAUUACAGACAUGUUUGCCGCGUAUCACACACAUCUUGUUAUAUUGAACCAUUUUUGUUCUCUUGUCUCAACGCAAACAGUUCAUCCGAGUGAACUGCAUGCCGUAUAUCGCACAAACCUUGAUCUGGCUGACCGUUUCUUUUGUGUUGCCUAAUCACAAACAGUUCAUCCGAGUGAACCGUAUGCUAUAUAUCGCACACACCUUCAUCUGGCUGCCCGUUUCUUUUAUUCCUCCUCAUCGCAAACAGUUAAUUGAACUAAACCGUAUGCCCUGCAUCGCACGUGCAACUAAAAUUUGAACUGUGUUUGAUGCAUCCGUCAUCGCAAACAUUUCACACCUUUUUUGACGGUUUUUUACACCACCGUUUGCGAUUAUUGCAUCGCACACAGUUUUGUCGAAGGGUCUCUGAUCGUAGUGUCACGUUAGCUGCAUCUUGCAGUAGUGUCUCUUGUUGUCAAGCAAAGUAGUGAUGGACCAAGCGGACCCACAGAUGGAAAGCAUCGAUAUCGCUGAUAACCGCGUGAGUGGGUGCAAGAGGACAACCACCAUCACUUUGCAUGUGGGCCAAACAUAUGUUGAAUACCCAAAAUGCACAACUUUGAUGUGGCACAUGCCUCGAAAACCAUUAAGUCCCCACACAUAGCGAGUUUCAUGAAGCGUACUACAUAUGCUGGUCCCCUUCCCCCUCUUUGACGCAUACUAUAGUCUUCUACCGUAAUACAAACCAAAAAGAAUCCUCCUUGAUGGUGAAAUUAAUUAACCUCUCCCGAUGUAGGUCAAAGUGAUGCAUGCAUCGACGACGACCUCACGGGCCCACAGAUGGAAGCAUCACACGUGAGUGUCCUAGGAUAACCACCGCCUGCAUGCAUGUGGUCCAAAGAGGUGUUGUGUGAUGUUUGAAUAGCCAAUGCACAACAUUGAUGUGGCACGUGCCCCGGAAACCGAAAAGUCCCGACACUGAGUGAGGUGUGUUCACGGACGCGUACAUAGUAUAUAUGCUAGUCCCCUCCCACCUCUUCGACGCGUACUGUAUACUCCCACCAUAACACAAAAAAAAGA